UCCAACAUCAGUGAUUUGUCUAUCCAUUGGACACACCAGUGUGUGAGCCUAUGUAAAUACACUGUUAGAUAUUUCAACAAAAACAGCAGGAGAAAACUUCUAAAUAUCAAGGUGUAGGAAUGAAAACAAAUAUUUUCAUUACUUUGGUGUUUUAAUAAUUCAUGUAUUCUUAAAUGCUUAAUUGAAAAAAACGUUUUCCAUAGAGGAGAACAACCAUUCUUACCCCCUACCCUGUUAGCUAUUUCCAAAUAAAGAUUGUGGCAGUGGUUAAGUAAUGCAUAAACACAUUCUGCUGGUUAUGAUUGAACAGUUAACAGUGAAGAUAAGAGUGAUAGACUCAAGACAAUAUUGUUUGCGCUAUACAGAUGUGUUGGUUAGAUUCCAACAAUUACAAAGGAAUCCUUUCAUCACACUGUCACUCAACCUACAUAUGAAUAUAAAUUACUAAUUAAUCAGCACCUCAACUGUGUGACAUUUUAUAAUUGAACUGCUUUUUAAUAUUGAUGUUUACCCUCCUGUACACUGUCUACGACCUGUAUUAUUGCUCAGUAAUAAAAGGUAUGUAACAAAUACAUACUUAAAAUAAUGAAUAAUAAUGGUUUUUAGAUUAAUUAAGGCAAUACUGUUUGUUUGGCAAUGUGAACAGUGAACACUAUAAAGCAGUGACCAAAGCAGGAAAUUUAUUCUUUGGAAGCAAAAACUUAGUUAUGCUUCUCUCAUGCAUGUCACUGUAGCACAAUACAUAUUUGGUCUAUUGUUGCCAUUUCAUCUACUGCCAUGACAGGAAGAGAAUACUGCUUGUUUGCAGUGUUAAUUGCAGCUGACUAUACUGGUUAAUUUUCCUUCACAUACCUGUACAGGUAACCUUGUAAGGCAAUCAUGACAGAAUGAAUGACCACACAGCAAUAAUCUUGGAACUUUCUCCCCAGACAAGGAAAACUGUUCUCCACAAACACCACAUUCUAACACCUGCAAAACAAGUGGUUAAGUUACUUUGCCUUUAUCUGAUAUGUUUUUAAGUUGCGAAUACUCACGCUUGUGGCCCAAUUGUCAGUGGAUCGUUGGCGUUUUCUUGGCAUAAGUUCAAGAAGGUUAGACGAACUGGUGCUCAUUGUCAUACAAACCAAUAUCAACUGUUAACUCAAUACUGUGACAUAAAUAUUCAACUAAGACAUUAAGAUUGUACUCGACUUCUAUCUGCAAUAAACGGUUGCAUAUACAGA